UGGGGAAUAUUGGACAAUGGGCGAAAGCCUGAUCCAGCCAUGCCGCGUGUGUGAAGAAGGUCUUCGGAUUGUAAAGCACUUUAAGUUGGGAGGAAGGGCAGUAAGCGAAUACCUUGCUGUUUUGACGUCACCGACAGAAUAAGCACCGGCUAACUCUGUGCCAGCAGCCGCGGUGAUACAGAGGGUGCAAGCGUUAAUCGGAAUUACUGGGCGUAAAGCGCGCGUAGGUGGUUCAUUAAGUUGAAUGUGAAAACCCCGGGCUCAACCUGGGAACUGCAUCCAAAACUGGCGAGCUAGAGUAGGGCAGAGGGUGGUGGAAUUUUCUGGGUAGCGGUGAAAUGCGUAGAUAUAGGAAGGAACACCAGUGGCGAAGGCGACCACCUGGGCUCAUACUGACACUGAGGUGCGAAAGCGUGGGGGGCAAACAGG
rnacentral:rRNA from 1 species